AAAAAUUCUUUAGAAAAUACCAUUCGACUCAAAUGUAAUAUUUUUUUCUCAAAAUAAAAUAAAGUUGUUAGAUUUGAUUAGAAUAAAAUAGUGCUUGAGAAAAUGUAUUUGAAGAACAUUUGAUAGUGAACGCUUUUCAUUGUAACCUUUUCACAUGAGCAUUCAAGGAGGGAACCAGCUGUACACGCCCGUGUAAUAGCGGCGACAAUUAUGUAACACAUUUAUGGACACUUCAUACGAUUCGACACACGCUCCGGGGCUAAAGAAAUAAAAUCCUGAAGCAUAAACCACCAACACAAUACGGAGUGAAGCUGUUGACCCAAAAAUCAAUAUUCACGGGACUGUAAUAAACAACGAUGGGCUUCACGAAUCGAAGGCUACAUCCAUAAAACAUGUUAUCGUGAUACACGGCUGACUCGAAUGGAAAGAUAAAUCAAAAACAACCUUAUCACAGCAACGUAACUAUAAUAAUACAACAAAUAGCGUUUGUUCGUUUUUCUUUGACAUGCUGUGCAUUAUGAGGCUGGCUAUAACAAUUAAUGGUGGGUGAAGUUGAUGUUGGAAUAUUCAGAUGGCAUGAAUAAUGUGAAAAUUGUUGAACCCAUCCACUGAAUGAGCAUCGGACAUCGGAUAAAUAGUGCCCGUUUAGGUCGAUGACUUCAUAUUAUCGGACCUCAAUGGUUUUAGUUUAGAUUGCUUUUAUAGAUUUCUUGCGUGUCUAAAUUAAUUGUGAACUUUAUUAAACUACGCAAUAAACGUUCGAUGGAAUGUUAUUUUAAUAUAAAAUUUUACG